GCAUAUGACUGAUGAUGGAGUUUGACGAGUUCUCUAUGACCUCCGUUAAGUCGGUACUCAUGAUAGAGGGAUUGUAUCAUACGAUAACUGCACCUAAAGGUUCACUUUUUUAUUUUGCUAGAUUGCCACUACAUGUUGCUAGAUGUCAUCGAUGGAUCGUGAGAACUCACUAAAAUCAUUUUUGGAUCAACAAUCUUUGUUGAGGUGAGUUGGAAUCGUUUCAGCCCAUCAAAAUGANNNNN
rnacentral:lncRNA from 1 species